AUUGGAGGAAAGUAGGGGAUCGCAAGACCUUGCGCUGAUUGAGCGGCCGAUAUCAGAUUAGCUAGUUGGUGAGGUAAAAGCUCACCAAGGCGACGAUCUGUAGCGGGUCUGAGAGGAUGAUCCGCCACACUGGAACUGAGACACGGUCCAGACUCCUACGGGAGGCAGCAGUGGGGAAUUUUGGACAAUGGGGGCAACCCUGAUCCAGCCAUGCCGCGUGAGUGAAGAAGGCCUUCGGGUUGUAAAGCUCUUUCAGCCGGGAAGAAAAUGCAUGGGUUAAUACCCUGUGCAGAUGACGGUACCGGAAUAAGAAGCACCGGCUAACUACGUGCCAGCAGCCGCGGUAAUACGUAGGGUGCGAGCGUUAAUCGGAAUUACUGGGCGUAAAGCGUGCGCAGGCGGUUUUGUAAGACAGGCGUGAAAUCCCCGGGCUUAACCUGGGAACUGCGUUUGAAACUACAAGGCUAGA
rnacentral:rRNA from 1 species